GUGUCGAUUUUAUAUCUUUCCGGCUUUCUCUUGAGGGUACCCAGUGCUAUAAAUUUCCCUUUAAACACUGCUUUAGCUAUGUCCCAGAGAUUCUGAUAUGUUUGUGUCUUUGUUUUCAUGGGUUUCAAAGAACUUGCUUAUUUCUGUCUUAAUUUCACUAUGCACCCAGUAGUUAUUCAGAAGCAGAUUGUUCAGUUUCCAUGUAGUUGUGCAGUUUUGAGUGAAGAAAUUCAUUCAAAUCUUGA